GCGGGGGAGAGGUGGCGCGUUAGAGAUGUGUGUGGGAGAGAGGGAGCGAGAGAGAGAGAGAGAGAGAGAGAGAGAGGGGGAGCGAGACCUCCGCUGGCCCCGCGAACUUGUCAAGUACAAAAAACCAAGCUUUUGGGCUCAAAAACCUAGACCAUCAUGGCUACGAAAACUACUGCUGCUCAGAGAGUAUGUAAUUCUGGAGCUCCUUAAGGAAAAAAGUAGUGCGAUGCAAGAUCAGGAGAGUGGCCAAGUGGUCUUCUGCACAGCAGCCAUGAACUUCAACCAUGAACUGAAGAAGGCUCAUCAAAUGCCUUAGGAAAGACAGGAUGGAGUUGGAAGAGAAGCAGGGAUCUCCAUGAAGGACAGUGAGUUAUAGUCGUGGUCGGCAUGCUUGGUUGGUCUGCCAGUCAACAAAUGUAGCUCAGACCUGGCCACAGUGUGAGCUGCCUCCUGUUCUCCUAAACAGCAGAAGCUGAAAUUUAGAGAAAUCUGUUUAGAAGGGAAUGGGAAAACAGCCAGGCUAGCUUCAGCACAAGUGUGUUGGUGGCACCUGUAAGCAUGCAGGUGUGUGGAGGAACAGGUCCUGUUCUCGCUGUUGUUACUCCCACAUAGGCAGACUCUGUAAUUGAUUAUGUGUGGGUAGGGCCCUAUUGAAAUUCAGGAGAUUCUGCAGUAGUGCGGGGUUCUUUUUGUGAAAGCUCAGUUGCAAGAUCAGGACCCUACUGUGACUCCUUACUGUGCAUUCUGUCACUGUCUCAUUGAUUGUACUGGAACCUGCCUAUUGGGAUAAUUACCAAAUACUAUAUUCCGCAAAACUUCUUAAUGGCACUGAGGCUUUGUGGAUAGUUGGUCACAUGAUGAGAAAAUUCAGCUGUAAUUCACCAUGGGACCCUGAAGUUCUUCCCUACUGCAAUUAGACUGCCGGAGUUCAUGAUUCCUGAGAAGUAACACCUUGAAGUUCUGGCACUAUCUUCUACAAAGUAACUUACACUGAGCUGGCUUCCUGUUACUGUGUCAAUGAAACAUCAAAUGUUGAUACUAUGUGUGAAACAACAUUUGAUAUUAUGGCUAUUAAGCUACUUGAAAAAAAUCUAUACGAAUGGAUUUUAUGUAUACAAGACCUGGCAUUUAAAAAUGUAUGUCAUGGAUGCAGGACUUGGUAUUUAACCCCAGGAUUGGAUCCAUAGCUCUUUUAAAUUCUGGAAUUCGAGAAACUGUGCAGAUUCUGCAGAUCACAUGGCUGGCAGACACAGAAAUAAUUUCACAAAUGAAAAUGGAAGAAGCAAAAUCCAUGAAGAUUGUGUUGAAGAUCCUCAGUAAGGAUAAAGCAUGUUACCUGUUCAUGCAAGCAGUGCUAUUAUUCUGCUUACACUCCUUGGUUUUCUGGUCAGGAAGCUAAUUUCAGCAUUGCCAAUGCCCUUUUUUAUUGAAUUCUAAUUCUCUCUAGCACAUGCUCUUCAGGUUUCAGCAUUAAGGCUGUUGGACACAUUGAAGUGCAAUCUACACUCACAGCUCAGUAUUUAAGGCAUAUGCGGAACUUCAGCAUUAAUUACAUAUUUUAUACUUGGUCUACUUUGCCUGUAGUGCUGAACUACUGUGAUAGUUUGAUUUUUAUGAUUUGAAGCAUGAAGCUUUCAAAGCCAUGUGUCAAAGGUCAAGUGAGUGGCUCAGCAGUGUGUGACACUACAAAAACUGUUUCCUUCUCGAAAGAUCGCAGACUACUCAUUUUCUCUGGGGUUCAUGGAGGUGACAAGGAUGGACUCCCAAGGAAUGGCUGCAAUGGUUGUUUGAAAUAAGAAACAGAUACCCUUGGUGUCAUUCAUCUCUGAUCACUGGGAAUUGGAGCUUGAAGGAAGGUGGAAGAAAACUCCUGCAGAGAGUAGGAGGAAUAAUUUGUCUUGUAAGGGGGGUAUAAUGGCAUUUUUAAAGCUUUUACCAAAUAUCAGGACAUGUGAUAAGAGUUUAUGGAUUGGGAAUUAAUGAAAGAUUGUGAAAUGGGGAAGAAUUCACAUUAUGGGAAGCGAUGGAGAACUACAACCUAAGCACUCUGAAAUUUGUGACCCAGCCCACAGAAUAUCUUGAGGUGAUAGAACAAUCUCAGAUGACUGUUGUUUAAAAAUAUAAUUUGCAAGCCCCUGCACCCUUCCCCAGACAGACUGGGAAAAUACAUUCCUUUUAUUAAUAUUACUUCAGGGGACUGGAGGGUAAUCUGAGCAGUGAAACAUACAGUUUAUGGGACUUGCUACAGAAUUCAGAUUAAAAAAAAAAGGCAGUGCUUAUUUGUACCUGGGAGCUGGUAUCUGUUUUAAAAAAUGCUGUUCAAAAGAGAUUUUUUUUUACCUUUUUAUAUGUAUUAAAUAACACAUCUAUAUGAUGAAACAUGAAAUGCAUAAUUGAAACAAUGACUAUAAGUAUAGAAUUGUGUAAAUACUACCUAAAUAAUAUCUGUAAAUAUUAAAUAAACUGUUUCAUUUCUAGAGGUUACAGAAAACACUUUAGGAUUUUAUACAGUCUUUCCACCUCUUCCCCCACUAGUUUUUAAUAUAAUUGCAAUUUUAGAGCUAAUCCAUAUAUUAACUUUUUAACAUUUGCAGUUGCAUUAAAUUUUACUGAGGAACAAUUUAGUUUGGGGAAACCGUUGAAUCUGUGGUUUGUGUUGUUUGAACAAGAAGUCCCUGAGUAUUUGUCCCAAAUGCCAAUAUUUUUCCUACACUGGCAGCUGUAUAUUUGUGGUCACCUGAUGGUAAUGCAUGCAAAGACCCUGUGCAGCAGCAGUGCCUCUCACUGGGGAUAGCAGGAGGGAAACUGGAAGUAAUCAAAGCACACAGAAUUUGCUCUUCUUGGUGGAGGUCUCAUGUAGGCAGCACUUGAAUGACACUUUAUUUUUCCGGAUCAGGUGAAGGUAAGAGAUAGAAACCAUUUGCUUCUGUUCCCUGGAAUGGGCUGGAAAGAACAGCUCUUCUGAGACACAGCUUUACACUGAACAUGAGCAGAGCAGUGUCAUCAGCAAUUCUGAAAAUGUGUUUACAAUGGUUGGGGAAAAUAUUUAGUCAGCAUUUAAAUAUAUUAGCUCAUACACAAAUUUUAGAUGUCUACUGCACUUAACAUUUCCAAUAACUGGUUUCCUUGAGAUUUUUAGUGAUACAAAUUAAUAACAAAAGUCAGUUAAUACAGAGUGCAGUUAUGAGACCAAAACACAUGUGGUUUAAAUUUAAAGAGUUAAAUGUUAGCAUUUCCCUAUAGAGAAAGGUUAUUUGGGCAGUGGUAUACUGACAUUAUCACCACCCACAGAGAAGGGGACCUCUUGAUCAUAUUGGUUACGCAGAAAUUCAAAAAAGGAAAACUGUAGGUCUAGAGGGUUUGCUUGGUAUAAGUGAAUCACACAGGAAAAAUGCUGAUACCCAGGGUUGUUGUAGUGACUUUCUUUGAUGGUUAGAAAGAGAAAUAAGCACAGGAUAUUUUUGUCAAGUUAGAGGGUUUAGAUUGCUGCUUGCAAGGUAAAAUUUAUCUUAGUUAUUAAUAUAGUGGAAAGUUAAAUGAUGAUCAUGGAAAUAUGAUAAUAAGUGCUGUUGGAAAGCGGACAGAAUUUUUUUUUUGUUUAA